rnacentral:rRNA from 1 species
GAUGAACGCUAGCGGCAGGCCUAACACAUGCAAGUCGAGGGGUAUAGUAGCAAUACUAGAGACCGGCGCACGGGUGCGUAACGCGUAUGCAAUCUACCUUUUACAGAGGGAUAGCCCAGAGAAAUUUGGAUUAAUACCUCAUAGUGUUAUAGAGUGGCAUCAUUUUAUAACUAAAGUUCCAACGGUAAAAGAUGAGCAUGCGUCCUAUUAGCUAGAUGGUAAGGUAACGGCUUACCAUGGCUACGAUAGGUAGGGGUCCUGAGAGGGAGAUCCCCCACACUGGUACUGAGACACGGACCAGACUCCUACGGGAGGCAGCAGUGAGGAAUAUUGGACAAUGGGCGCAAGCCUGAUCCAGCCAUGCCGCGUGCAGGAAGACGCAUCU